UGUGGUAGUGUCAUUCACUUUUUAUAUCUAGGGUUAAAGUGGUAUUAGACCUAUGUUGUAAGGUUUAUUGGGCUUGUUUUGUGAAUUUCGGUUCUUUUGGUUCUUUCGGUUAACUAGGAACCGAAUUUUGGUCGGUUAGUUCGAUUUCUAAGAACCGAACAACUAACCGAAAUUUUCAGUUUCGGUUAUUUCGGUUUCGGUUUUGGUUCUCGGUUAUUUUUUCCCAGACUGAGUUUCGUGUAUAUUAAAUAUGCU
rnacentral:lncRNA from 1 species